rnacentral:rRNA from 1 species
AACGAACGCUGGCGGCAUGCCUAACACAUGCAAGUCGAACGAGACCUUCGGGUCUAGUGGCGCACGGGUGCGUAACGCGUGGGAACCUGCCCUUAGGUUCGGAAUAACUCCCCGAAAGGGGUGCUAAUACCGGAUAAUGUCUUCGGACCAAAGAUUUAUCGCCCUUGGAUGGGCCCGCGUUGGAUUAGCUAGUUGGUAGGGUAAAAGCCUACCAAGGCGACGAUCCAUAGCUGGUCUGAGAGGAUGAUCAGCCACACUGGGGCUGAGACCCGGCCCAGACCCCUACGGGGGGGCGGAGUGGGGAAUAUUGGGCAAUGGGGCGAAAGCUGAUCCCGCCAUGCCGGGUGAGUUAUGAAGGGCUUUGGGUUUUAAAGCUCCUUUUCCCGGGGUGGUAAUGACAGUACCGGGAGAAUAAGCCCCGGCUAACUCCGUG